rnacentral:rRNA from 1 species
ACCCUUUGUCGCUCGCUUUGUCGGUCGCUGACUUGUUCGGGCGCAGGGGGGAGGGGGAGGAAGGUGAAGUCCUUGGGAUCGGCGGCGGAGCAGGAGGAGGAGGGUGGUGUCGGCGGAGGGGGAAGGGGGCGGGGAGGGGGCGUAGAGUAGGCGGGGUCCACGUCUCCGCUCGAAGGGCCGCUGCCACCGCGACCGAGCUCCGUCCCCUUGCCGGCUACGCCCCAGGCAACCUAGCUCCGCACCCCUCGCCACCUACGCCGCAGCCGCCGUGCUCUUCUUGUAGCCAACGUCGGUUAAGCUACUGGACUAGUUUUGCUUUUAUGUAGACCUAAUCAGCGGUAAUCAGGACCAGAGGAUGCGUUCAUUUUUCUCUUUUGUUCCUUGUACAAGAUAUGCUCUCACGAUGGUUUCCUUUGGUUACUUUUUAGUACAGCUGCAUGUCGGGCGGCCACCCCGGACCGCUACAGCGAAAGACCACCUCCCACCGGUACCUGCACAACGUCCGCAACCCCACCGCGCUCGAGCCUACAUGAGUCCAACAGUUUUCCGUUUGAUAAGGACUAUAUCCGUUACUACUACUUCACGGUUAUAGUCCUUCUUUCGCUGUACAUGUUGUCUCUAAUCCUUUAUUACACCAACAAAGACUAAGCAUAUCCUCAGCUGUAUCAUUAUUUUCCACGUCCUCCAUGGUACGUUCGUUCGUCCCGCUGGUCCUAGUACGACGUCCCCGACCCAUAUAAAGGUCUCUUACAGUAGUUCCGUCCUAAAAAAGAAGAUUUUAGUCAAAUUCCGGUACGGGAGGAGAUGUUGCAUGUACAACCACUACUACCACGACGAUGGACAUGUGUCCAUAUAACCCAAACUAAUCCUGUAUGACAUAGAAUUUACCGUAAGGGGUAACCCUUUAAUUUUGCUACCUUCCCGGUAUACGCUUACCGUGGUUUCGUUGAAACUUACUGUUUGUAAACGUUUAGCGUAAAGAUCCAUACCAAUUAAGUACGUAAUAACAACAUUGAGAAACAAAGUACUCCUUAAGUCAGUGGUUCGGUCAACCUGUCACCACUAGUGGAGCGUGAGGUCGAUGGAUAAUAGGGUUCCUAUCUCUGAGAUUUCAAGACUUUGAAAGGGAAAGAAAAAUGACGUGUAAUUAGAAAAACUCGAACUUGCUUCAACAUUGAAUUUGUAGUCCACAGUUGUAAAUAGUGUGAGAGGAACAUUCAUUACGUAUAGAUCUACUACCCGGCCUCAUACGUAUAGAGGUCCAUUCAGGAGAAACCUGGGAAGGUGAAGCAGCCCGAGUGGUAACCUCUGAGCCUGCGGUCUUAGCCGUGGCGACGACACAGACAACCACUGCGAGUGUGUUCUAGGUUUCCGUCGUGGAACCGGUAGAGGGACGCUUGUAGACUGUUACACCGGCGGCGGAACUAAGAUGAACAGAACUAUGGGGUUUCUCUUUUCUCUCCUUUUUAUGUCUUAUCUAUCUAUACUACGUAAACAGUGAAUAGUACGGUCACAAUCCGAACCUCUAAAGAAGAGUAUAAAUAUGUAUUAAAAACAAUCUUUAGCAUUCUUUUUCUACCACGAACAACUUCCGUAGUGUGUUUAACACAAAUCUUCAUGACGUUUUGCUUUAUGUCUCAUCGUCGGUUCGAUUUGGAGCCUUGUAUUUACGGAAAUAUAUUUUUAUGGUGAUCUCACACAAGGACACCUCAAUUAUAUUCUGUUUACUUAACAUAGAGUGACAAAUGGAUAUAGAAGGGAAUCGUCUCGUCAUAAAAGUGUUGAUCCCUUACCUUUUCUUAUACCUGCACCAGUAGUCUAGCUCGGUCUUCUUCCUUUUACAUGUUACUUGGUCUUACAUGGUACAGCUCACCCUUGUUAACUGCUCUGCGGUUGCAAGACCAAAGCUUGGGGAGUUGAGGUCAAAUAGGGGAUGUAGCGCGGAAGACAGGACCUGUAGGGGCCGAAGAUACCACAACUGUAGAUGAAAAGACGCUGCGGGUGCACACCCAGCUACUACCGUGUCUACUCGUUGACGAGCUCGUCCGCUACUACUUCCGCUCACAACCGAGCCACCCACGCCACCUCCCGCUACUCCUACGGUCACACCUGCACUUCCGCCUGCUUAAGUAGCGUUUCAAGAUACGCAUCUACUUUACGUCGUCGUUCAGAAUCCCGACUUUAUGUUGCUGAACUACCUAUCCUCGUACACCUGUUCAGUAGCAUACAUUACGUAUAAGUUUGGUUUGGCCUUUAUAUUGGACGACGAUGAGGGGUUCAAAUUAUAUGAAGGUGAGGUUGCCUAAACCAGAUGUAAUG